rnacentral:pre_miRNA from 1 species
AGUGUAGAGGUUGGUGAAGUUGCUGUCUUCUAUCAGGUAAUUCACCCUUCUCUCACUAA